GACGAAGGAUGCAAGCGUUAUCCGGAUUCAUUGGGUUUAAAGGGUGCGUAGGCGGACUUGUAAGUCAGUGGUGAAAUCUCUUUGCUUAACAAAGAAACUGCCAUUGAUACUGCAGGUCUAGAGUAUAGAUGACGUUGGCGGAAUAUGACAUGUAGUGGUGAAAUACUUAGAUAUGUCAUAGAACACCGAUUGCGAAGGCAGCUAACGAAACUAUAAACUGACGCUGAGGCACGAAAAGUGCGGGGGAUCAAAACAGG
rnacentral:rRNA from 1 species